AGAAAAGAUUUGCACUGCAAGAGGCUGCUUUUAGCAAAAAACAUUACAAACUUGGUCGUGUUUUGAAGCAGCUCACACAAGCCUCGCCGAAUUUGCAGACCUCUCUUUUGCAUCAGCCACCCGCGGCUCGGUACUUAAUGAAGGAGUCCGGAGGUGGAGAUGAAUUAUCCAAGUUCCUAAGCGGCCGGCGGCUCCGACAAGGACCUCUCUCCCCGCGUUACUCCUCAUUCCCAUCCCGGCUUUGCGGCCCCGCCACUCUCCCCCCGCACCCCGGUUGGGGUUUACACGCGCUCGCGGGGCUCCGCGCUCUCUCCGAUGUCAACGAGGUGAACCCGGGAGCCCGCUAGGGCUGUACCCACACAAAUCACUGCGUGUAAGCGUCCCUCGGGGCUAUUUGCGGCUGGGACGAAAGACACUUAAAGAAAUGAGAGAUGUAGCAGGGGUCCCUCACUGGACCGAAGGGACUGCGUCGUUUAUCGGCCUCGGCAGAAGUAGUUAUAUGCCUAUAAAUCUGCGUUCGGCAACACCGAUCGCGGAAGCAGAUUUAUAAGACUUCAAAUUAACCGUUUCUAUCUUUAGGGCUGGGGGGAAGGAAAUGAAGGGGCGGGGGGG
ensembl:lncRNA